CUAACCAGGUUAGGCAUAGGCAGAUGGGGCAAAUGUGCUGGGAAGGUUUCUGGGAAAGGGUCUCUAAAUUCUUAAAAAGUGCAAGGGAAAUCUUCUAUCUCUGUAUGGAAAUGUCCAAAGAGGUGAUCUAGGAAUUUGGCAGCCACCCUGGACCCAGGGGGAACAAACAGAAGAGCUCCAGCUAGUGCCCUAGGCUGCAUGUGCAAUUCCAUCGCUGAGCUGCUAAAACAACAGCCCUAGAGCUGCCUCACUUGGGCUUCCUGUUUGGUGAGCUAACAAGCCCCUUUUUGUUCUGAACAUUUUUAUUGAGCUUUAUUUUCAAAAAAGCAGCCUGAUUCAUGCACAUAUCUUUAGAAGAAAUUUAAAACGCCCUAGAAAAGAAUAUCUUCAGUUUAAAAUCUAAGCAAUUUGGAAUUUACAGGAAUAUAUUCCUCUUAGUUCCAGUUACUCACCAUUAAAAAAUAAUGGUCCUCAGGUUCAGCUCGAAGAUAUUUAAAAACCACUUGCUCCAUGAACCUUUCCAUAAGAUCCCAGUCUUCAAUGAUUCCAUGUCGUAUCGGCCACUGGAGGAAGAGAAACCAGAGUUGUCAAGCCUCAGUUCGCAACAAUAAGAGCAACAGUUUAACAGUGGCACAGAAGAAACUGUGUUAUUACAGAAUAAAGGUCUCCUUCUUAUUGC
rnacentral:lncRNA from 1 species